rnacentral:rRNA from 1 species
GUUUCAGCAGCCGCGGUAAGACAGAGGCCACAAGCGUUAGGCGGAAUCACUGGGCUUAAAGCGUGUGUAGGCGGACCGUUAAGUGCCUUGUGAAAUCCCACGGCUCAACCGUGGAACGGCUGGGCAGACUGGCGGUCUUGAGCUGCCUAGGGGCGACUGGAACAAACGGUGGAGCGGUGAAAUGCGUAGAUAUCGUUUGGAACGCCAACGGUGAAAACAGGUCGCUGGGGGCAAGCUGACGCUGAGACACGAAAGCCAGGGGAGCAAACGGGAUUAGAUACCCCCGUAGUCC